rnacentral:rRNA from 1 species
CCUACGGGUGGCAGCAGUGAGGAAUAUUGGUCAAUGGGCGCGAGCCUGAACCAGCCAAGUAGCGUGAAGGAUGACUGCCCUACGGGUUGUAAACUUCUUUUAUCAAGGAAUAAAGUGCGGCACGUGUGCCUUUUUGUAUGUACUUUAUGAAUAAGGAUCGGCUAACUCCGUGCCAGCAGCCGCGGUAAUACGGAGGAUCCGAGCGUUAUCCGGAUUUAUUGGGUUUAAAGGGAGCGGAGAUGGGUUGUUAAGUCAGUUGGGAAAGUUUGCGGCUCAACCGUAUAAUUGCAAUUGAUACUGGCAGUCUUGAGGACAGGUGAGGUAGGCGGAAUUCGUGGUGUAGCGGUGAAAUGCUUAGAUAUCACGAAGAACUCCGAUUGCGAAGGCAGCGUACUAAGCUGCCACUGACAUUGAUGCUCGAAAGUGUGGGUAUCAAACAGGAUUAGAUACCCUUGUAGUC